rnacentral:rRNA from 1 species
AUCGAACGCUGGCGGCAGGCCUAACACAUGCAAGUCGAGCGAGCGGCGGACGGGUGAGUAAUGUCUGGGAAACUGCCUGAUGGAGGGGGAUAACUACUGGAAACGGUAGCUAAUACCGCAUACCAUCAGCAGUGCCCAGAUGGGAUUAGCUGGUAGGUGGGGUAACGGCGCACCUAGGCGACGAUCCCUAGCUGGUCUGAGAGGAUGACGAGCAACACUGGAACUGAGACACGGCCAAGACUCCAACGGGAGGCAGCAGGGGGAAAUAUUGCACAAUGGGGGAAAGCUGGAUGCGGACAUGCCGCGUGUGUGAAGAAGGCCUCGGGGUUGUAAAGCACUUUAAGCGGGGAGGCGGUACCCGCAGAAGAAGCACCGGCUAACUCCGUGCCAGCAGCCGCGGUAAUAC